GACGUAGGGGGCCAGCGUUGUUCGGAGUUACUGGGCGUAAAGGGCGUGCAGGCGGUCGACUAAGUCUGGCGUGAAAGCUCUCGGCUAAACCGGGAGAGGUCGUUGGAUACUGGUUGACUAGAGGACGGUAGAGGCGUGUGGAAUUCCGGGUGUAGUGGUGAAAUGCGUAGAGAUCCGGAGGAACACCAGUGGCGAAGGCGACACGCUGGGCCGUACCUGACGCUGAUACGCGACAGCAUGGGGAGCGAACGGG
rnacentral:rRNA from 1 species